rnacentral:piRNA from 1 species
UAAAAGGAUAAGAUGACUGUGACAUUGCA